GCCUAGUGCACCCGCACACAACGGUGCCGUGGAAUUUCAGGAGUUUCGGCCGCAUCUGAUGCUGUCUAAAACUGACUGAAGCAAUUACUGCAUCCAUCCCUUCAAGGAAAGCGUGCCAUGUAGCAGGAUGUGGAGCAGCAAGGGUAUGGAAUCUUUGGAGAGGGUUUACAUGAAAAGUUGGAACUGCAGAGUUCACUCUGACGAAAUGAUAUGGGAUCAAUCUUAUUUAGUUUACAGUUCAGAGUUUUCCCCAAGAUCGACACACAAGAUGCUGGAGAAAAUCAGCAGGUCAGGCAGCAACUAUGGAAUGGAAUAAACAGACGUUUCGGGCUGAUACCCUUCAUCAGCACAGGAAAGGAA